CCUACGGGAGGCAGCAGUGGGGAAUAUUGGGCAAGGGGCGCAAGCCUGACCCAGCAACGCCGCGUGAAGGAAGAAGGCUUUCGGGUUGUAAACUUCGUUUAAGGGGGAGGAAGAAAGGACGGUACCCCGGGAAUAAGCCACGGCUAACGACGGGCCAGCAGCCGCGGUAAUACGUAGGUGGCAAGCGGUUUCCUGAUUUAUUGGGUGUAAAGGGCGGGUAGGCGGGAGCGCAAGUCAGAUGGGAAAACUCAGGGCUCAACCUUGAGCCUGCCUUUGAAACUGUCUUUCUUGAGUGCUGGCGCGGCCAUCGGAUUUCCGUGUUUAGCUGUGAAUUCCGUAGAUAUCCGGAGGAACACCAGUGGCGAAGGCGGCUUGCUGGCCCGUAACUGACGCUGAGGCGCUAAAGCGUGGGUAGCAAACAGGAUUAGAUACCCGUGUAGUC
rnacentral:rRNA from 1 species